rnacentral:rRNA from 1 species
GAUGAACGCUGGCGGCGUGCCUAAUACAUGCAAGUCGAGCGAACGGACGAGAAGCUUGCUUCUCUGAUGUUAGCGGCGGACGGGUGAGUAACACGUGGAUAACCUACCUAUAAGACUGGGAUAACUUCGGGAAACCGGAGCUAAUACCGGAUAAUAUUUUGAACCGCAUGGUUCAAAAGUGAAAGACGGUCUUGCUGUCACUUAUAGAUGGAUCCGCGCUGCAUUAGCUAGUUGGUAAGGUAACGGCUUACCGAGGCAACGAUGCAUAGCCGACCUGAGAGGGUGAUCGGCCACACUGGAACUGUGACACGGUCCAGACUCCUACGGGAGGCAGCAGUAGGGAAUCUUCCGCAAUGGGCGAAAGCCUGACGGAGCAACGCCGCGUGAGUGAUGAAGGUCUUCGGAUCGUAAAACUCUGUUAUUAGGGAAGAACAUAUGUGUAAGUAACUGUGCACAUCUUGACGGUACCUAAUCAGAAAGCCACGGCUAACUACGUG